rnacentral:rRNA from 1 species
CCGGGACCCCAGGUCAGGC